rnacentral:rRNA from 1 species
GACGAACGCUGGCGGCGUGCCUAAUACAUGCAAGUUGAGCGCUGAAGGUUGGUACUUGUACCAACUGGAUGAGCAGCGAACGGGUGAGUAACGCGUGGGGAAUCUGCCUUUGAGCGGGGGACAACAUUUGGAAACGAAUGCUAAUACCGCAUAAAAACUUUAAACACAAGUUUUAAGUUUGAAAGAUGCAAUUGCAUCACUCAAAGAUGAUCCCGCGUUGUAUUAGCUAGUUGGUGAGGUAAAGGCUCACCAAGGCGAUGAUACAUAGCCGACCUGAGAGGGUGAUCGGCCACAUUGGGACUGAGACACGGCCCAAACUCCUACGGGAGGUAGCAGUAGGGAAUCUUCGGCAAUGGAGGAAAGUCUGACCGAGCAACGCCGCGUGAGUGAAGAAGGUUUUCGGAUCGUAAAACUCUGUUGGUAGAGAAGAACGUUGGUGAGAGUGGAAAGCUCAUCAAGUGACGGUAACUACCCAGAAAGGGACGGCUAACUACGUG